GAUGAACGCUGGCGGCGUGCCUAAUACAUGCAAGUCGAGCGAACGGACGAGAAGCUUGCUUCUCUGAUGUUAGCGGCGGACGGGUGAGUAACACGUGGAUAACCUACCUAUAAGACUGGGAUAACUUCGGGAAACCGGAGCUAAUACCGGAUAAUAUUUUGAACCGCAUGGUUCAAAAGUGAAAGACGGUCUUGCUGUCACUUAUAGAUGGAUCCGCGCUGCAUUAGCUAGUUGGUAAGGUAACGGCUUACCAAGGCAACGAUGCAUAGCCGAACUGAGAGGGGGAUCGGCCACACUGGAACUGAGACGCGGUCCAGACGCCUACGGGAGGCAGCAGUAGGGAAUCUUCCGCAAUGGGCGAAAGCCUGACGGAGCAACGCCGCGUGAGUGAUGAAGGUCUUCGGAUCGUAAAACUCUGUUAUUAGGGAAGAACAUAUGUGUAAGUAACUGUGCACAUCGUGACGGUACCGAAUCAGAAAGCCACGGCUAACUACGUG
rnacentral:rRNA from 1 species